AUCAACUUUCGAUGGUAGGAUAGAGGCCUACCAUGGUGGUAACGGGUAACGGGGUGUUAGGGCACGACACCGGAGAGGGAGCCUGAGAAACGGCUACCACAUCCAAGGAUGGCAGCAGGCGCGCAAAUUACCCAAUCCCGACACGGGGAGGUAGUGACAAUAAAUAACAAUACGGGGUUCUUUCGGAUUUCGUAAUUGGAAUGAGUACAAUUUAAAUCUCUUAACGAGGAACAAUUGGAGGGCAAGUCUGGUGCCAGCAGCCGCGGUAAUUCCAGCUCCAAUAGCGUAUAUUAAAGUUGCUGCAGUUAAAAAGCUCGUAGUUGAAUUUCGGGACCAAUAUGUCGGUCGUGCCUCGGUACGUACUGGCAUCGUUGGUUUCUCCCUUCUGACGAACCAUGAUGUCAUUUAUUUGGUGUCGUGGGGAAUCAGGACUGUUACUUUGAAAAAAUUAGAGUGUUUAAAGCAGGCUCACGCUUGAAUAUAUUAGCAUGGAAUAAUGAAAUAGGACGUUUGAUUCUAUUUUGUUGGUUUCUAGGAUCGACGUAAUGAUUAAUAGGGAUAGUUGGGGGCAUUAGUAUUCAAUUGUCAGAGGUGAAAUUCUUGGAUUUAUUGAAGACUAACUACUGCGAAAGCAUUUGCCAAGGAUGUUUUCAUUAAUCAAGAACGAAAGUUAGGGGAUCGAAGACGAUCAGAUACCGUCGUAGUCUUAACCAUAAACUAUGCCGACUAGGGAUCGGAUGAUGUUAAUUUUUUAAUGACUCAUUCGGCGCCUUACGGGAAACCAAAGUGUUUGGGUUC
rnacentral:rRNA from 1 species